GACGAACGCUGGCGGCGUGCUUAACACAUGCAAGUCGAACGGAAAGGCCCUGCUUUUGUGGGGUGCUCGAGUGGCGAACGGGUGAGUAACACGUGAGUAACCUGCCCUUGACUUUGGGAUAACUUCAGGAAACUGGGGCUAAUACCGGAUAGGAGCUCCUGCUGCAUGGUGGGGGUUGGAAAGUUUCGGCGGUUGGGGAUGGACUCGCGGCUUAUCAGCUUGUUGGUGGGGUAGUGGCUUACCAAGGUUUUGACGGGUAGCCGGCCUGAGAGGGUGACCGGCCACAUUGGGACUGAGAGACGGCCCAGACUCCUACGGGAGGCAGCAGUGGGGAAUAUUGCACAAUGGGCGGAAGCCUGAUGCAGCAACGCCGCGUGCGGGAUGACGGCCUUCGGGUUGUAAACCGCUUUCGCCUGUGACGAAGCGUGAGUGACGGUAAUGGGUAAAGAAGCACCGGCUAACUACGUG
rnacentral:rRNA from 1 species